rnacentral:rRNA from 1 species
ACGUAGGGUGCAAGCGUUAAUCGGAAUUACUGGGCGUAAAGCGUGCGCAGGCGGUUCGGAAAGAGAGGUGUGAAAUCCCAGGGCUUAACCUUGGAACUGCACUUUUAACUACCGGGCUAGAGUACGUCAGAGGGGGGUAGAAUUCCACGUGUAGCAGUGAAAUGCGUAGAGAUCGAGAGGAACACCAGUGGCGAAGGCGAGUCCCUGGACAACACCUGACACUGAGGCACGAAAGCUAGGGGAGCAAACAGGA